CCUACGGGCUGCUGCAGUCGAGAAUCAUUCACAAUGGGGGAAACCCUGAUGGUGCGACGCCGCGUGGGGGAAUGAAGGUCUUCGUAUUGUAAACCCCUGUCAUGUGGGAGCAAAUUAAAAAGAUAGUACCACAAGAGGAAGCGACGGCUAACUCUGUGCCAGCAGCCGAGGUAAUACAGAGGUCUCAAGCGUUGUUCGGAAUCACUGGGCGUAAAGCGGGCGUAGGCUGUUUCGUAAGUCGUGUGUGAAAGGCGCGGGCUCAACCCGCGGACGGCACAUGAUACUGCUAGACUAGAGUAAUGGAGGGGGAACCGGAAUGCUCGGUGUAGCAGUGAAAUGCGUAGAUAUCGAGAGGAACACUCGUGGCGAAGGCGGGUUCCUGGACAUUAACUGACGCUGAGGCACGAAGGCCAGGGGAGCGAAAGGGAUUAGAUACCCCAGUAGUC
rnacentral:rRNA from 1 species